CGAAAGAUAUCACGGCAACGUUGAUUAAUUAUCAUCAAGAGUCAAGAAGGAAGACAAAGGUUCGUGAUCUCCAAUGUCUCCAACGAGAAAGAAGAAGAUACGGGAGGAGAUGAAGUCAGUUGGGCCACAAGGUGGAGAUUGUUGAAGAUGGGCCCAACUAACUCUAAUCCAAUUGUCUCUCUACAGCCCAGUCCGUAUUGAAGUCCAUUGUUUGCAUCUCUUGAUCCUGCAUAUGUCGGCUAUUAAAUUUACAUAAUAUGAAAAGGAAAGAUUGACCAAAUCCAUAUAGUAAAAGGAAGAUAGUGGAAUAUAUAUAAAGAAGAGACGUCACAGCUUUAUGAAAUCAUCCGAAAGAAAAGCAUAGAGACCUAGAGCUAGAAAGUAAGAGAGAUCAAGAAAGUUACUAAUUCAUAAGUUCGAGUCUUGUGUUUUAGUUUUAACCAAGCUGUGAUUUCUAAUUAGUUCUUGUAAGGAUAUUCAUUGAGAGUGAAUAAAGGGAAUACAAGUUUUGGGUAUUGAUUUAAUCUCAAGUUUUAAGCACAAAGUAAGGUUUAAAACCUAACAGAAGGUUUUUCUUAACAAAGAAAAAGGGUAUUACUAACUCCCUUUCAAGUUAACUUACAUGUCACACUCAAAGAAAGAAUCUAGCCUGACAAAUUCAAAGAUCUAUCCACAAUCCAAGAAUCUCUCAUGACCCAUAGCCCUUAUAUUUUGUGUUCACAUACAUUGAACCCCAAAACCUUAUGCUUUGAUCUUUCUUUUGAGGUGGUACCUAACAAAAUGCAUGCCUCUCUCUAUUUAUAUUCAGUAGAUUUCGUGGUUUACCCUAGCCAUAUUUCCAACGAAAAAAUAUUCCCAAGUUUUUCUUGUAGAAUAUUUUCAAAUCUUGUUCAAACCUUUUUGGAAGUCAUCCCUUAAUGAAUUUUUUUCAUCAAUGUAAAUCUUUGGUUGUUUGGCUUCAAAGUAACCUCUAGUUUAACUUUCGGCCAACUCAAAUUCUAAUUUUCAAGUCAGCUACAUAGCUUCAGUUCAUGUAACACUUAUUAUACUACUUCAUAUAGUACUUGGGGAUUGGUACAUCUAUUUUAUUAAAACAGAAACAUUACAGCUUCUUCUAGGUGGAUUUUUAAGUUGGACAUCACAUUAUUAUUCAUAGCCUAACCUUACAUUUAAAUAUUUCCUUAAUCGGUUCAAUAUCAACCAUCGGUUCAAUAAAGUCCAUUUAACUUCAUCAUAUAACUCUAUUUAAAUACACCAUAAGAUCUAUCUUAUUAUACAUUAUACAACUAUUAUUUUACAUCUAUUAUUUCGUCACAUUAUGCAUCUAUUAUUAUACAUAUAUAUUAUUGUACAUAUAUUAAAAAAACAUCUAUUAAAAAACCCUCGCUUUAAUGUGAAACGUUAACAUACAUAUACUCACAUUGUCAUACUUAUAUUAUAUCAUAGUUACAAUAUAUAAAACAUGCACUCUUUACACUGGUCCAUAUCAGAUUGCAGGAUUAGCAACAUUGAGUAGUCAUUAUAUUUUAGAAAACUUCAUAAGUUACAAAACUCAUAUGGUCGUAUAUCUAAAGCAAGAGCAUGUCAAUAUAUUUUAAAAACUAUAACAACAUAGUUUAUUUUUGUUACUUAAAUGAUAUGGUCAUAUAUCCAAAUCAUUUGUCCAUGGUAUAAUUUAAAGAAACAAGAAAUUUAAAUCUCCGGAAACAAGAAACAAGAAAGUUGCCAGUAGUUUCACCUAGAUUUGUCCAUGGUAUAAUUCUUAUUUUCAAUAACAGAAACAUCAAUUUAAAUAUCCAGAUUUGAUUUUAACCGUAUAUUCUUAUUUCAAUAACAGAAACAUCAGUUUAUACUUAAAAAAAACGUUUAUAACAAAACUCCUUCCCAAAGUUGUGCAUUAUAUGCCUAAAAUCUCGGAUACAAUCAAAUAUGGAGUUUUAAAAUUCUCUGUCAAAAUCGAUUUGCCAGAUUUGAAAAUCAUUAAUAUGGAAAACCCCUUUCUCCAAGUUUAUUCUACUAUACCUAAAAUCUCGGUUUCAAUAAAAUCUAGAGAUUUUGUAUUUAUUAUACCUAACUUAAUAGGUUAGGGAAUAUUCAUUACCUCCCACUAAAAUGUCUCCAUAAAUACUUCUCUUCGUAUUCAUCAUUCAACAUACACAAAAGCUCCCAAAAAACACAAUGUCUAAACCAAGCACUUUAGUUCUAAUCGAUGGUGUGAAACCUGUCAGGCACAAUUGACAAAUUUGAGUUAAAGUGCUUCAUUCUUGGAAACAAACCACACCUUUUGCAGGCGACACAUUAGAGUUCAUCCUUGCUGAUGAAACUGUACGUAUUGUUUAUAGUUUGUUUUUAUAACUCUUUUUCUAUUCGUGCUCUAACGUGUAUUUUUUCCUGCUUUCUAGGGUGUGAAGAUUGCAGCAUCGUGCAAAAGGAAUCAGAUUUCUCGUCUUCAACGCAAAUUACCAGUUGGAGAGUGGAAAACUAUUGACACGUUUGCAGUUUUGGGUAUUUCUGGACAGAAUUGCCCAACAACCCAUCGAUACAAGUUGUCUUUUUCAGGCGAAACCAUGAUAACAAAAUGUCAAGUUCUAUCUGAUGAUCAGUAUCUUUCUCUUGCAAGUUACGAUGAUCUAAGGAAAAUCGAGGAGAAGAAGAAUUUUUUCCUUAAAGAUGUUAUUGGACAAGUUGUAGAUCUAGCUGCAAUUCAAACUGUUCAAGCUAGGGGGAAAGACGAGAAGAGAGUUCAGUUUCGUUUACGCGAUGCCAGGUAAAUUAGAAUCAUCAUAUAUAGUUGUUAAUGUUAUAUUCUUUGCUGUAGUUUCAUAUUAACUACAGCAAUUUUAAUUUGACUUUGACAUUGUUUGUGUUUCAAUCUGUAAACAUCAAGUGGAGAUGAAGUUGCGUGUUGCUUGUGGGGGAGGUUUGCGGAACAACUCGAACAAGUGUUUCAAGAUAUAAACAAUGAAAUUGUUAUUUGCUUGAUAAGGUUUGCUAAGAUCACUUUUUUAAGAGGUAUACAUUGUAUGAUAUCGAAUUAAUCAACUAUAUGGAAAUCCUUGAGUUGUUUUACUUAAUUACACAAUUGCAUUCAUCUUUAGGUGAAGUACAAGUCAGCAAUGCUUUUGAUGCUUCAAUCAUGGAUAUAAACCCAAAAUUGGAGGAAGUAAUUGAAUUGAAAGAAAAGUAAGUUCAUACUAUUAUUUUAUAAUGCUAAAGCCUCUAUUAUAUUUGUACUUAUAUAAGUGUAAUCAUAUAUGUUUUUCAUCCAUGUUAGGAUUUUGGCGAAUGAUCUUCCUCUGGCUCUUAUUGAGAAAACAGAAGAAAAGCAAAUUACCAAGAAACAAAAACAAGAUUGGGAUGAGAUUCCUGUUCGAGCAAUUUCUGAGAUAUUGGAUGCUACUGAGGUAAAUUGCAAAUAAUUCCGAGUCUUGGAUUGUUUUAAAUAUAUUAUAUCUCUAAUAUUAUUAUAUGUGUGUAUAAUUUGUCAGGUUGAGAGUUGCAAAAUCAUUUAUUCUAUUGAGCCAAUAGACACAGAUUGGGGUUGGUUCUACUUUGGUUGUAACCGAAACCGACACAACCGACGUGUUACUAAGCAAAACUGGUUCUGUAAUGACAAAUCCCAGCCAGAAACCACUUUUCUAUUGUGACAUAUGUCGUGGGAAUACACCUGAUGUCUCUCCAAAGUAAGUGACCGAGCAUUUUGUGUUGUUUGUCUUUAGAUUAUUUACAGCAGUAAGUAUUUUGAAUACUAAAAAUGUAUUUUGGACUUUCAGGUACAAACUUCAUUUGUUUGUUAAAUAUGAUAGCGAUUCAUGCACAAUAAUGAUGCUUGACUCUGUUGCUCAAUCUAUUAUUCGUAAUGCUGCAACUGAACUUUGGGAUGGUUCCUAUGAUGAGGUUCUUUUUUCUUCUGUUAUUACUUAAUUUUUGAAUGAUGUAUGUCUAUCCUAAAAUCUAAUGUUUUUGACAUUUGCCUUUUAGAUUGAAGAUCCAACUAUUCUACCUCAGCCUAUUGAAAGUUUAGUUGGAAAAUCCUUUUGUUUUGGUAUUUCGCUAAGCACUGACAAUGUAAACAAUGGAAACACCACUUUUAAAGUGUUUGAGGUCUGGUCUGGAGAUAAAAUUCAGAAAAUUAAAUCUCAGACAGAGCCAUGUUCCUUGCUGGACACUUAUUCGUCAACUCUUUCUGGUGGUGAGGUUUCCCUGGUUGAUCCAAACAAAGAAAGUUCAUAUGAAGGUUUUUCAACCCCAUUCUCAAAGCGCAAAGAAGAAGAUGCUGAUCUAUUGGACAUGACAUCUACGUCUAAGAAACCUUGCACUCAGAAGAUCAAGAUGGAGAAUACAAAGACUGAUGAGUAGUUGAUGACCUAGAUGAUUUAUGUCGUCUUUUGAAAUUUGGGAGCUUGUAUUUUUAUCUAUUUUAGUGUUGCAUGCGUGAUUUUCAUUUCAUGGGGUUUGGAUGGUUUUUUUCCUAAAUUUUAAAAAUAAAAUUGUUUUUUAUAUAUUAGUCUACACCACAAUGUGCUUCAGUAAUCACUACAACUGCGGCUUACCAUCGGCAUAAGAAAAACUUAUCCUAAUUAUCAAACAUACUAAAUAUCUAACCAUACAACCUAGCAAUUAACCUAUAUAAGAAAAGAAAUAGUAUCAAACCUUUAUCAAAUCCGUAACCUAUUGUAAAUUCGUAGCCAUGAGAUUUUCGGAACAUACCUGAUAUUUUUUCUUCUAUAGUUGACUCAAUAUUCCCCGCACGGUUGUAAGUUUCUCCGUUAAGUGUCUUCAUAUUCAAUCAAACUGAAACAAAUAAAGAAACAAGAAAAUAUACCAAAUAUUUAGAUACUAAAAACAAAUAACAUUUUUCAGCGAUUGCAUAAUCAUCAUUAAUUCCUCACCAAUGAACGUAACCUAAAACUAAAAUCUUGAAUCGUGAGCCGCUAUCUUAACCAAAGCAUAAGUAUUCACAGACAAUUCAUACAUACUAUUCAAGCAGCAGAUUGAAAAGGUUCAUAGUUGUUAGUUUUCGUGUACUAAGCCUCAUUUCAAAGUAGAAACAGCCUUAUUACUCUUUCUAAUAGAUAUUUCUUUUCAUCCUCAUAGCCUGACCUAAUGAAGAGAAGAAAAAAAGAAAAUCCUGCAACUCAUGAAUUGUCAGUUCGCAGCCACCGUAGUUUACCGGUUAGAUCUGUUUCCAACAGAGUUUUCAAUGAUGUCACAAACAGGACUACAACACCAGUCAAUAAUCUUAAAAGAUCCAUUGGUAAGUCCUUUGUAACAUGUACAAGAUCCCUAUAAUAUAUGAACUAUACUUUACAGUGAAGAACAUACUUCUUCUUUUUUGUUCAAGAUAUGGGAAAGGAAAAUGGUCAAUCAUCACAAUUGGCAAAGAGAACUCGGUAUUCACAUCCAAACUCAUGUAAGAUGACAUUGAAAUUCGAGUAUAAUUUGUAUACUAAUAAAUUAUGUGUUUACCAUUGUGUGAGAAUUUUAAAUUAACUUCAUAUACUAGCAAAUCAAAUGGACAAACAUCAGCGAAGAGAUACAAGUCAUGAUACUGAUGUCUGCUCUCCCACAAGUGCGCCUUCUAUACCGGUUAUAUCUAUCUUUGAUAUAGUUUUCAAUGAUGUAUUGAACGGCCCUAGGAUCCCAUUCACACCAGUCACUAGCCUAAACCUUUCAGUUGGUCAGUUUUUUUAAAUAUGAAAUUCAGUUACUACUAAUUGAUACUUCAUGAUAUUUUUCUGCUCAUAAUCUAUUUUAUCUAUAGGUGACAUGGGAAAGGAAAAUUGUCAAUCAUCUGAAACGGCAAAGAGACAUACAUAUUCACAACCAAUUUCAAGUGCGUUGAGAAUACAUUACAUUUAUUCGUUAAACCAAGUGAUUUGUUAAUUAUCUCAAUUUCUUUGAUUCAUACUAUUUUUCAAUGACUGACACAUUGAUUCUAUAUUUUCUAGCAAACCAGAGUUGUAAAUCAGGAUUGACUACUGUAAGGCAUGCUGAUUCAAUAGAUUUUAGAAAGAGAAGCAGGACUGUUUUCAAUGACAAGGCAGAUUUCACCUUCGUAAAUUAUAAUCAUAGGCGUUUAUAUGUAUAGUACAUCCUACAUAUAAAGUUUCUUACCAUAUGAUUGGGUUGCUUUAAUUAAAAUAUGCAUAUUUUAGUAAGCUACAAGGAAAAGUGGACGUUGAAGAUUUUCCCCCAGCACAAACUGCCAUAGACGCAAUUAAGGACUCCAUGGAUCUUUACGCGGCUUACAUCAAAGCUGUCUUGCAACGUUAAUGAACAUACCGGUCAAAUCCAUUCCUCCAGGUUUGCUUUCAUACCUUCUCCGGUUCGCUAGAGAACAUCCUAUUUUUGAAUUUGAAUUUAAGCCAUUUCGUUUAGAUUCAAGGUUUUAUGUUGAAAUCCGUAUGAAUCUUAGUCAACACGGAUCCGUGCGGAUCGGUGUCAAUCAAGAUACGAAAAAUAGUAAUCUUCGUUCUCUGAAUUUGUUUUUUUUUUCCGUUUCUUGCGAGUGAAGGAAUUAUGUUUUGGUUUUCCUUGGCACAGUGUAAGGAAGUUUGUGUGUAUGUACAUGAUGGUGACAUCACCAAGUCCCAUAUUCUCAAUUUGCUUUUUAAUAUACCACUAGAUUUUGAUCCGCGCUUAUAGAUUAUAUCUGUUUUUCCAUUAUAUUUAUUAAAUUUUUUCUUAUGUUAAUCGACACUUACCAUAGAAGCAGGCCCGGCUCUUGACCAUGGUGACAGGGGCGGUUGCCCUGGGUCCAGAGAAAUUUUUAGUGCUAUUUUAUUAAUUUUAAGGGUCCAUUUCAAAUUGUUAAAUGAUUAAAUAUUUAAUAAAAUUAUAAUAAAGAGUCCAUAAUUAACU